rnacentral:rRNA from 1 species
AUUGAACGCUGGCGGCAGGCUUAACACAUGCAAGUCGAGCGGGGGAAGGUAGCUUGCUACCGGACCUAGCGGCGGACGGGUGAGUAAUGCUUAGGAAUCUGCCUAUUAGUGGGGGACAACAUCUCGAAAGGGAUGCUAAUACCGCAUACGUCCUACGGGAGAAAGCAGGGGAUCACUUGUGACCUUGCGCUAAUAGAUGAGCCUAAGUCGGAUUAGCUAGUUGGUGGGGUGAAGGCCUACCAAGGCGACGAUCCGUAGCGGGUCUGAGAGGAUGAUCCGCCACACUGGGACUGAGACACGGCCCAGACUCCUACGGGAGGCAGCAGUGGGGAAUAUUGGACAAUGGGGGGAACCCUGAUCCAGCCAUGCCGCGUGUGUGAAGAAGGCCUUAUGGUUGUAAAGCACUUUAAGCGAGGAGGAGGCUCUUUUGGUUAAUACCCAAGAUGAGUGGACGUUACUCGCAGAAUAAGCACCGGCUAACUCUGUGCCAGCAGCCGCCGUAA